ensembl:lncRNA
GUCCGAAGUAAAUUGCUAUUUUUUGUGCAUUUGAGCUAACCCCUAACCUUUUUCUCAACUUUGACCGAAUGCUUCUAAUUCUACUGGUUCUCCUAACCACCUACAUCCUGCUAUGUAGAGGCAGUGAAGGAUGGAGGGUGGAGACAGGAUGUCCAGGGUAGAGGUCAGAGGUAGGACGGUGGAUGUGGUUGGAGCUGGAGGCUGAAGGGUGGGUGUUGGAGGUGGUUGGAGCUGGAGGCUGAAGGGUGGGCGUUGGAUGUGGUUGGAGCUGGAGGCUGAAGGGUGGGCGUUGGAGGUGGUUGGAGCUGGAGGCUGAAGGGUGGGCGUUGGAGGUGGCUGAAGCUGGAGGGUGGAGAUAGGAUGUCCAGGGUAGAGGUAGGACGGUGGAUGUGGUUGGAGCUGGUGGCUGAAGGGUGGGCGUUGGAGGUGGUUGUAGCUGGAGGCUGAAGGGUGGGCGUUGGAGGUGGCUGAAGCUGGAGGGUGGAGAUAGGAUGUCCAGGGUAGAGGUAGGACGGUGGAUGUGGUUGGAGCUGGUGGCUGAAGGGUGGGCGUUGGAGGUGGCUGAAGCUGGAGGGUGGAGAUUGGAUUCAGCGGAUGUGGUGAAAUCCUACCCGCCCAGCACCGUAGGCCCUUCUGAAGGCCCAAAAGGAGAGGACAGGGUAAAGCAAAGUCUCACUGUCGAUCUCCGCUGGUCUCUGGAUAAUACCGCAGCUCUCCCUGCACUGAGAGAUCUGUGUCUGGCCAAGUCUUCACCUCAUUGUGUGUCUUUGUGUGUGUGUGUGUCCCCUCCAGCUC